UUAUGCCAAACCUCGCUCGGUGUUUUCAUUCUUCUCUGCACCCAGCCGACGGGAAGAAGAAAAGCUUCCUCAUUCACUAGACGUCUCUUUUGCACACGGCGUCUUUUACCUCUCCCGGGCUUCAAUAAUUCUUCGUCCGACUUUGGGACGAUGGGAAUGGAGGUA